GGAGUCGAUGUCUUGUGAUGGGUUGAAAAUAUCCCGAAUAUUGGACCUGGAGGCUUUUGUUCAAUUCACAGCUAGUGCAGAUACCAGUGAUCAAUGACAAAGCCCUGGUGCCUGUGGAGACGGAAUGUUUGACUCCCUUGAACUGCUGCAGUUUGUAUGAUGAAGGUGCUCCCACAACAUGGUUGGAUUGUUAAGGCCGAGAGAUGGCCUGUUGUAG